UACGUAGGUGGCAAGCGUUAUCCGGAAUUAUUGGGCGUAAAGCGCGCGCAGGCGGUUUCUUAAGUCUGAUGUGAAAGCCCACGGCUCAACCGUGGAGGGUCAUUGGAAACUGGGGAACUUGAGUGCAGAAGAGAAAAGCGGAAUUCCACGUGUAGCGGUGAAAUGCGUAGAGAUGUGGAGGAACACCGGUGGCGAAGGCGG
rnacentral:rRNA from 1 species